rnacentral:rRNA from 1 species
CCCUACGGGAGGCAGCAGUGAGGAAUAUUGGUCAAUGGGCGCGAGCCUGAACCAGCCAAGUAGCGUGAAGGAUGACGGCCCUAUGGGUUGUAAACUUCUUUUAUAUGGGAAUAAAGUUUGGUAUGCAUACCAUUUUGUAUGUACCAUAUGAAUAAGGAUCGGCUAACUCCGUGCCAGCAGCCGCGGUAAUACGGAGGAUCCGAGCGUUAUCCGGAUUUAUUGGGUUUAAAGGGAGCGUAGGUGGAUUGUUAAGUCAGUUGUGAAAGUUUGCGGCUCAACCGUAAAAUUGCAGUUGAAACUGGCAG